CCUACGGGUGGCAGCAGUAGGGAAUAUUGCUCAAUGGGGGAAACCCUGAAGCAGCAACGCCGCGUGGAGGAUGAAGGUUUUCGGAUUGUAAACUCCUUUUGUUAGAGAGGAUAAUGACGGUAUCUAACGAAUAAGCACCGGCUAACUCCGUGCCAGCAGCCGCGGUAAUACGGAGGGUGCAAGCGUUACUCGGAAUCACUGGGCGUAAAGAGCGCGUAGGCGGGUUAGCAAGUCAGAUGUGAAAUCCUAUGGCUUAACCAUAGAACUGCAUUUGAAACUGUUAUUCUAGAGUAUGGGAGAGGUAGGUGGAAUGCUUGGUGUAGGGGUAAAAUGCGUAGAGAUCAAGAGGAAUACUCAUUGCGAAGGCGACCUGCUAGAACAUAACUGACGCUGAGGCGCGAAAGCGUGGGGAGCAAACAGGAUUAGAUACCCCUGUAGUC
rnacentral:rRNA from 1 species